rnacentral:rRNA from 1 species
CCUACGGGUGGCAGCAGUCGAGAAUCAUUCACAAUGGGGGAACCCCUGAUGUUGCAACGCCGGGUGGGGGAAUGAAGGUCUUCGGAUUGUAAACCCCUGUCAUGUGGGAGCAAAUUAAAAAGAUAGUACCCCAAGAGGAAGAGACGGCUAACUCGGUGCCAGCAGCGGCGGUAAUACAGAGGUCUCAAGCGUUGUUCGGAAUCACUGGGCGUAAAGCGUGCGUGGGCGGUUUCGUAAGUCGUGUGUGAAAGGCGCGGGCUCAACCCGCGGACGGCACAUGAUACUGCGAGACUAGAGUAAUGGAGGGGGAACCGGAAUUCUCGGUGUAGCAGUGAAAUGCGUAGAUAUCGAGAGGAACACUCGUGGCGAAGGCGGGUUCCUGGACAUUAACUGACGCUGAGGCACGAAGGCCAGGGGAGCGAAAGGGAUUAGAUACCCUGGUAGUC